AUGGCAAACACGGCUGGCUGUGGCGCCUAUUGUUCUCAGGAGUUCAUCGAGUCAAGUACUGCCAAGUACAAUGAUUCAGAGUUUAUUUUGCAUCCACCAGCCCCUAUGAGCUACUAUCCUCAACUAUCAAUUGUUUCCAACAAGGUUGGUCGCGUUUCAUGGGACACAUCUUCUUCUUGUAAGAUCUACAGCCCCCAACUCUACAGUGUCAACUGCGAUGAAACAUCGGCUGGUUGGCGCCUAAUCAGUGUGGCGGAGCACCCAAAAACUGACUCUGAUGUAACUCUCAGCCACAUAGAACAGAUGUUGAUGCAGGACACCGAUGAUAAGGUCAGAGCACCUCCUGGAGAGACUGCCAUUAGAACUAUGGAGGAGCCCUUCUAUGAACUUCUUGGACAGAAGUACCCUGUUUUGCCUGGCUUGCUACCACUUUGUGGUUGCGAUCGCCUCAAGAACCUAAAUGGCAGUGUCUGUAGGCUGAAUAAUGGACAGUUAUGCAAUAAUUGCUCUGUAAAAAUCAGCUCAGAUAAUUAUCACUCCAACGGCAGCUCACAAGCUUCUCAGGCUCCAUGGAGUUUAUCCGCCAUUGUUGGAGAGGCAAUACAAUUCCCUCUGGGUGUUGAAAAAAUGGGAAUUGGUUUGAACAUCAAUGGCCUUUCCAUUAGCCCAGAGAGUCAUUCACCACAUAUGAAUGAUAAGGACACAAUCAAGCAUGCACCAUUUCAUGGUCGAAGCCGAAAAGUUUUUCCGGGUAUAGAAGAGCUUGAUUUGUUAGAAGGAAGGAGAAACAAGCAGAUUGCUAUUUUCUCCGAUGAGCCAGUCCGAAAUGAGGUGUUCGACAAGGUUCUGCUUUGCUCUGAGAAUAAGCCCGUGGAUGAAGAUAUUAUUUUGCAGCGAGGCAUGGCAGAUAUAUCCACCAAGUAUGCACAGAAAGAACAAGGAAGAAAACCAGCUAGGCGAAUGAAGAGAGGUAAAACACGAAAGAAGAAAGAGGUGGUGGAUCUCAGAAGUCUCCUUAUCCAUUGCGCAGAAGCGGUGUCUGUGAACAACCGCAGCUUAGCAAGUGACAUACUUAAAAGCAUAAGACAACAUUGUUCACCAAGUGGGGAUGAUACCCAGAGGCUAGCGUUUUACCUAGCAGAUUGCCUGGAGAUAAGAUUGUCCGGAAGCGGGAGUCAUAUAAAUCAGAAGGUCAUCACUACACCAACGAAUGCAGCACAUAUUCUGAAGCUAUGCCAUCUGUGUUUCACCGUUUGUCCUUAUUUGAGGUCAUCAUAUUAUCUCUCAAACAAGACAAUCCUUGAUGUCUCAAAGGGAAAACCAAGAGUGCACAUUAUUGAUUUUGGCAUUUUCUAUGGUUUUCAGUGGCCAUCAUUACUGAAACAAUUUUCAGAUAGAGAAGGUGGGCCGCCUAAGCUUCGGAUUACCGGUAUAGAGCUGCCCACGCCAGGUUUCCGUCCAGAUGAAAUGAAUAAGAACACACGGCUACGAUUAACUGAAUAUGCCGACAUAUUCCAAGUACCUCUCGAAUACCAACAGAUUUCAUCAAAAUGGGAAUCCAUCUCCAUCGAAGAAUUGAACAUUGACAAAGAUGAAGUGCUCGUAGUCAAUUGCAUACUCCGAAUGAAGAACGUUGGUGAUGAGACAAUAACCAUCGAUUGCGCCAGGAAUAGGGUGCUCAAUACCAUAAGGAUGAUGAAGCCAACAAUUUUCAUCCAUGGAGUUGUUAAUGGAUCUUACAACACCCCCUUCUUUUUAUCACGUUUUAAAGAAGUCAUGUACCACUACACUUCAAUGUUUGAUAUGCUUGACAAAACUACUCCACGAGAUAACGAGACAAGAAUGAUCCUAGAGAGGGAUAUAUAUAAAUAUGCAAUUCUUAAUGCCAUUGCAUGUGAAGGGUCAGAAAGGAUUGAGAGGCCAGAGAGUUACAAGAAAUGGAAUGCAAGAAGCGUCAGGGCCAGGUUUGAGCAGCUCCCACUGAAUCCAACCAUUGUUAAAGGCAUACAAUCUAUGGUGAGACAGAUUUAUCACAAAGAUUUUUUCGUCGACGAAGAAGACCAAUGCCUAGUGUUGGGAUGGAAGGGAAGGAUACUCUACGCAUUAUCCACAUGGAAGCCAAGUGAGUGCGAGGACGAAGACGAUUAG
rnacentral:rRNA from 1 species